CUAUAGACGCGAUUCUAUUUAGCGGCGCGAUUCGCGCUUGUGCCAGCCGCCGCGCUAAUACGUAGGGCGCGAGCGUUAAUCGUAAUUGCUGGCCGUUGCAUUACAGGGGCUGUUAUAUAAGACAGAUGUGAAAUCCCCGGGCUCAACCUGGGAACUGCAUUUGUGACUGUAUAGCUAGAGUACGGAAGAGGGGGAUGAAAUUCCGCGUGUAGCAGUGAAAUGCGUAGAUAUGCGGAGAAACACCGAUGGCGAAGGAAAUCCCGUGGCCCUGUACUGACGCUCAUGCACGAAAGCGUGGGGAGCAAACAGUAUUAGAUACCCUGAAAGUCCACGCCCUAAACGAUGUCAACUGGUUGUUGGCUCUUCACUGACUCAGUAACGAAGCUAACGCGUGAAGUUGACCGCCUGGGGAGUACGGCCGCAAGGUUGAAACUCAAAGGAAUGGACGGGAACCCGCACAAGCGGUGGAUGAUGUGGUUUAAUUCGAUGCAACGCGAAAAACCUUUACCCACUUUUGACAUGUACGGGAAUCCUUUAGAGAUAGAGGAGUGCUCGAAAGAGAGCCGUAACACAGGUGCUGCAUGGCUGUCGUCAGCUCGUGUCGUGAGAUGUUGGGUUAAGUCCCGCAACGAGCGCAACCCUCGCCAUUAGUUGCUACGAAAGGGCACUCUAAUGGGACUGCCGGUGAAAAACCGGAGAAAGGGGGGAUGACGCCAAGUCCUCAUGCCCUAUAUAGGGGGGUCUACACACGUCAUACAUCCGUGAUACAGAGGUGUGCAAACCCCGCGAGGGGGAGCUAAUCCUAAAAAGCAGGUCGUAGUCGGAAUCGCAGUCUGAAUCUCGACUGCGUGGAGUCGAACUCGAUAGAUAUCCGAUCAAAUGUCGGGUGAAACGUUCCCGGUCUGGCAUCAG
rnacentral:rRNA from 1 species